AUUAAAAACCAAUGCCCUUCGGGGCUCCUUGGUGAUUCAUAAUAACUUAACGAAUCGCAUAGCCUUGUGCUGGCGAUGGUUUAUUCAAAUUUCUGCCCUAUCAACUUUCGAUUGUAUGGUAUUGGCUUACAAUGGUUUCAACGGGUAACGGGGAAUUAGGGUUCUAUUCCGGAGAGGGAGCCUGAGAAACGACUACCACAUCCAAGGAAGGCAGCAGGCGCGCAAAUUACCCAAUCCCAAUUCGGGGAGGUAGUGACAAUAAAUACUGAUACAGGGCUCUUUAGGGUCUUGUAAUUGGAAUGAGUACAAUUUAAAUCCCUUAACGAGGAACAAUUGGAGGGCAAGUCUGGUGCCAGCAGCCGCGGUAAUUCCAGCUCCAAUAGCGUAUAUUAAAGUUGUUGCAGUUAAAAAGCUCGUAGUUGAACUUCAGGCUUGGCUGGGCGGUCUGCUUAACGGCAUGGUACUGUCUGGCUGAGUCUUACUUCUUGGUGAGCCGGUGUGCCCUUCAUUGGUGUGCAU
rnacentral:rRNA from 1 species